UACGAAGGGGGCUAGCGUUGUUCGGAAUUACUGGGCGUAAAGCGCACGUAGGCGGGUCGUUAAGUCAGGGGUGAAAUCCCAGAGCUCAACUCUGGAACUGCCUUUGAUACUGGCGACCUAGAGUUCGGAAGAGGUUAGUGGAAUUCCCAGUGUAGAGGUGAAAUUCGUAGAUAUUGGGAAGAACACCAGUGGCGAAGGCGGCUAACUGGUCCGAUACUGACGCUGAGGUGCGAAAGCGUGGGGAGCAAACAGGAG
rnacentral:rRNA from 1 species